rnacentral:rRNA from 1 species
UACGUAGGUGGCGAGCGUUGUCCGGAUUUACUGGGCGUAAAGAGCGCGCAGGUGGCCGCGCAAGUCGAGUGUGAAAUCCCCGAGCUUAACUUGGGAAUUGCGCUCGAAACUACGUGGCUCGAGUGUGGCAGAGGAAGGUGGAAUUCCACGUGUAGCGGUGAAAUGCGUAGAGAUGUGGAGGAACACCGAUGGCGAAGGCAGCCUUCUGGGCCAACACUGACGCUCAUGCACGAAAGCGUGGGGAGCAAACAGG